UUUCUUCUAGAAGUGUCAUUUUUGCUUUCUUUACAAAGUGUAAGCUAGCAAAAUGUUUGAAAAAGUGAUCAAGUUUUGCAACAUACAAGCUAGCAAAAAUGCCAAACUAGCAAGAGAUAAUAUUUUACAUGAGGCAAGCAAACAAUUUGGCAAAUGUUACAUUUACAUCUUCUCUUUUGAGAAGUGCAAUUUUUGCUUUCAUCUUGAAUUGUGCAAGCUAGUUAGUUUGCCUCUUUUCAUGAUGUCCAC
rnacentral:lncRNA from 1 species